rnacentral:rRNA from 1 species
GACGAACGCUGGCGGCGUGCUUAACACAUGCAAGUCGAACGGUAAGGCCCUUCGGGGUACACGAGUGGCGAACGGGGGAGUAACACGUGGGUGAUCUGCCCUGCACUUCGGGAUAAGCCUGGGAAACUGGGUCUAAUACCGGAGAGGACCACUGCCUGCAUGGGUGGUGGUGGAAAGCUUUUACGGUGUGGGAUGGGCCCGCGGCCUAUCAGGUUGUUGGGGGGGUGAUGGCCUACCAAGGCGGGGAAGGGUAGCCGGCCUGAGAGGGUGACCGGCCACACUGGGACUGAGAUACGGCCCAGACUCCUACGGGAGGCAGCAGUGGGGAAUAUUGCACAAUGGGCGCAAGCCUGAUGCAGCGACGCCGCGUGAGGGAUAACGGCCUUCGGGUUGUAAACCUCUUUCAGCACCGACGAAGCGCAAGUGACGGUAGGUGCAGAAGAAGGACCGGCCAACUACGUGCCAGCAGCCGCCGUAA